GGAGCCUUGGCGCAAUGGUAGCGCGUUGGUUUUCGGUAGACAUUGGGAACUCCCCUUUGCCACGCUGUCCACCAAAGGUUGUGGGUUCGAUCCCCAUGGGCUUCG